UAAUGUCUGGGAAACUGCCUGAUGGAGGGGGAUAACUACUGGAAACGGUAGCUAAUACCGCAUAACGUCGCAAGACCAAAGUGGGGGACCUUCGGGCCUCAUGCCAUCAGAUGUGCCCAGAUGGGAUUAGCUAGUAGGUGGGGUAAUGGCUCACCUAGGCGACGAUCCCUAGCUGGUCUGAGAGGAUGACCAGCCACACUGGAACUGAGACACGGCCAG
rnacentral:rRNA from 1 species